CAGCAGAGAGCAGGAAUAGCUGGUGGGGUUAAUGAGUGUAAGCUUCAUGCAUCUGAUGCAUUUUAAUAUCAGAGCUGCAACAGGAAAACCGUCUGCAGCUAUUCUGACAAUCGAUUCAUCGUUUCACUAAUGUUUCAUGCUAAAGCGCCACACAAUCUCUGGUACCGUUUGUGAGAAUUUAUAUUACUACCACUUUACUUUUUGUUUGUCGAUGUUACGUGUAGAUAAACUUGAAACUAUUUAAGAUUUUGGGCCGCUGGUCAGACAGAACAGAGACAUCUGAAGACAUCGCCUUGGACUCUUGACAUUUCGGGGACUGACCCGAGAAGAGAAUCCGCAGACCAACUGAUAACGGACGCGAUGCCAAUUGCAAGGCUCCACAGCAGGCCUGACGGCGGCGUGUCGGUCCUCUCCUCCAUCUGAGCGCAGCUGCCAGCAGCACCGCCGCCUGAGGACAAUGGCCAGCCGCCCAGCGAAGCAGCAGUAACCGGGAGUGACAGCCAAUGGGGAGCAGGGAGGCACAGACAUCAGAUGGUAAAGGCUUUGCCAUCUGACUGAUGGUACCAUGUACCGCUGGCAGAUUUCUGUUUGUCAGGAGGCGACAUGUGUCAGGGGACACGACUUGACUGGGACGCAUUCCACCGUCAGGUCGCUGGCACUGACUGAGGAACCGCUCUCCCACCUUCAUUAUUCCUGCAUGAAUCAGAUGGAGGAACAGCUGCUCGGGUGACUCAACUGGAAUCUUAAAACAAAAGAACUUUGGCAAAGAAAGAGCAGCACUCAGGUCUUCUUGUAACAUGUGCUGAAGUAUCACCGUGUGGUUCAGCUGUUUUAUGCACAUGUCGGUUUUUAUGUUGUUUGUGCAUGUUUUAUGUUUUUAUCGUAGGCUGUUUAAAUGGUAUUAAAGUUAUGUAUUAAAUAAUUUAAACCAAGACUACAGAACUGUAUC